CCAUCUAUUCUUCUCCUUCCUUCUCUACCUGCCGCCCUACCUGCAUAAUCUUGAUCUUCUCCCUUCAUUUUUUCUCAACGGUUGAGACUCUACUUACGCUCUAAACAUGGUACAAUAGUGCCCAUCACAGCAACACAGCCACAUCACAACAGCUCCUCCCUUUCUUGUUAUGCAAUUUUUAAUAUUGUAUUGCAAUUUAUUUUUUUUUUAUUUCUUUUCUAAAAUUUGAAAUAUUAUUUUGUAAUAUUAUCUUGUUUUGGAUGUUGAAUGACUGUGGUUUUGGAUGAAAUUGUGUAUAUCAUUUCUAUGUUAAUGAAAGUUUCUUCUUCUUGUUAUUUUGUUUUGUAGAUUUGAAAGCGGUGAUUGAAAAUGUGGUUUGAGCAUAGAAGAAAAAACUGUGAGAUUUGAAAGAAAAGAAAAUUCGAAUCAAACCUAAGUUAUUUAUUUCAAUUUGAUUUGAUUUGACUAUUUAUAUAAUUUGAUUUGGUUUGAUUUUUAAUUUUAAAUGAAAUUUUAUUUUUGGUAUCUUCCG
rnacentral:misc_RNA from 1 species